UAGGGAAUAUUGGACAAUGGGUGAGAGCCUGAUCCAGCCAUGCCGCGUGCAGGAAGAAGGCGUUAUGCGUUGUAAACUGCUUUUGCCAGGGGAUAAAAAGACCGUGCGCGGUUAAUUGAAGGUACCUGGUGAAUAAGCCACGGCUAACUACGUGCCAGCAGCCGCGGUAAUACGUAGGGACCAAGCGUUGUUCGGAUUUACUGGGCGUAAAGGGCGCGUAGGCGGCAAUUCAAGUCAUCUGUGAAAUCUCCGGGCUUAACCCAGAACGGCCAAGUGAUACUGUCGCGCUAGAGUGCAGAAGGGGCAAUCGGAAUUCUUGGUGUAGCGGUGAAAUGCGUAGAUAUCAAGAGGAACACCUGAGGUGAAGACGGGUUGCUGGGCUGACACUGACGCUGAGGCGCGAAAGCCAGGGGAGCAAACGGGAUUAGAUACCCCCGUAGUCCCUGAGCGGGCUGGCAAGGCGCAU
rnacentral:rRNA from 1 species